ACAACUUACUGUACAAUUCCUCCCCUUCACCAACCAACCACUAUCUAACUUCAGAUAACAUGCACUCACACAGUUUACAAUCCCUGUACUUAUUCUGCGUCUAUUUGUCACAUCUCAUACGUAGAUUUAUUUAUUUAGUCGGAUACAUAUUGCACACUUGACAAUCUCUUUUCUUCUGAAUACAUAGUUCAUUAGCUAAUGUAUUCUUACUACCCCC